CCUACGGGGGGCAGCAGUGAGGAAUUUUGGUCAAUGGCCGUAAGGCUGAACCAGCCAAGCCGCGUGAGGGAAGAAGGUUCUCUGGUUUGUAAACUUCUUUUAUAGGGGAAUAAAGAUAUCCACGUGUGGAUAUUUGCAUGUACCCUAUGAAUAAGCAUCGGCUAACUCCGUGCCAGCAGCCGCGGUAAUACGGAGGAUGCGAGCGUUAUCCGGAUUUAUUGGGUUUAAAGGGUGCGUAGGGUGUUUUUUAAGUCAGGUGUGAAAGUCUGUGGCUCAACCAUAAAAUUGCCGUGGAAACUGGAAGACUUGAGUGUGUUAGAGGUAGGCGGAAUGCGAGGUGUAGCGGUGAAAUGCAUAGAGAUAACGAAGAACUCCGAUUGCGAAGGCAGCUUACUGGGCCAUAACUGACGCUGAAGCACGAAAGCGUGGGGAUCAAACAGGAUUAGAUACCCUAGUAGUC
rnacentral:rRNA from 1 species